rnacentral:misc_RNA from 1 species
AAAGCUAGUCAGAACUUAGUCGUGCCACGGGCUUCAGCUUCAAGGUACUUACACAUCCGCUCCAUAACCUCUCUACCCUUUGCGCUGUUCGACUGGAACUUCUCUACACAUUUCUGCUCUAUUUUCUCUGCCAUAGAAGCCAGUGCAGACAAAGGCUUAAUCUUAAUACUAGUUUCCUGCUUGCAGACUGUCCAUGAAUUUGGAUUAUCAGGAUGUGGAUCAUAUCUAAUUUUCUCCUCUACCUCAAUAAAAUUUUGGAGACUGAUGUUACGAGUAGAAAGUUGCA